rnacentral:rRNA from 1 species
AUUGAACGCUGGCGGCAGGCCUAACACAUGCAAGUCGAGCGGAGCGGCGGACGGGUGAGUAAUGCCUAGGAAUCUGCCUGGUCUUGGGUGAUCACGUCCGGAACCGUGCGCUCAUACCGCAUACUAUCAGAUUAGCCUAGGUCGGAUUAGCUAGUUGGUGGGGUAAAGGCCUACCAAGGCGACGAUCCGUAACUGGUCUGAGAGGAUUAUCAGUCACACUGGAACUGAGACACGGUCCAGAAUCCUACGGGAGGCAGCAGUGGGGAAUAUUGGACAAUGGGCGAAAGCCUGAUCCAGCCAUGCCGCGUGUGUGAAGAAGGGCUUCGGAUUGUAAAGCACUGUAAGUUGGGAGGCGUUACCAACAGAAUAAGCACCGGCUAACUGCGUGCCAGCAGCCGCGGUAAUUC